UUUUUGCAAUUGUAUCCUACUUAUUCACUUGGAUCACACCUCAAUUUCUUUUAUUAUUUUAAUUAAUUUAUUACUAUAUUAGAAUAGUGAGUUAAAAGAGUGGGUGGUUGACGACCAAAUCCACUCUUCUAAUACAGUAAUAAAUAAUAAUAUAUGGACUAGCGGGCAAGGUGCUUAAAAAUGUGCAGGUGCAAAACUACAAAUAUGGCAAAAUAGAAGGGCUUGAAGCACAAACCCGUUCAACUAUAUAUAGACCUCAUAUCGGCUAGGGACUGAUAACAAGCGCCGUUACCCAGCCGACCCGACCCGAAUAUCCUCCUUCGCCGGAUUGUAGCUUUUUUUUUCUCCUCAACCCCAAGUGUUGGAGUUCCUGUGCGUGAGGGAAUUGACCGCCUCAUCUAUGUAAUCUAUUACUCUCUCUUUCAAACUGUUUUAGUUCCACGAGUAAGAUUUUUGAACAGCUUUAAAUUAAAGAUUGUAUCCCUCACUUUCAUAUUAUAAGUGGUGUUUUAGGUUUUUGAUUUUAUUUCAAGUAAUUCUUACUUUAGAA